UAAAAAUCCACUUUCUCUUUUAGCUUUUGUGUGUGCUCCAAAUUUUUCCUUUUUUUGCUCUCAAAGAUGCCGAUGGAUACCGAAACAAAUCAAUCAGGAGAUUUCAUCUUUCGAUCUAAGCUCCCUGAUAUUUACAUCCCUAAACAUUUGCCUUUACAUUCUUAUUGCUUUGAAAAUCUUUCGGAGUUCAGUUCUCGCCCCUGUUUGAUUGAUGGUUCAAAUGAUCGAAUCUACACUUAUGCUGAAGUUGAACUUACUUCGAGAAAAGUUGCUGUUGGGCUUAGCAAAUUAGGGAUCCAACAGAAGGAUACAAUCAUGAUCCUCUUGCCUAAUUGCCCUGAGUUUGUGUUUGCGUUUAUUGGAGCAUCGUAUCUAGGAGCAAUUUCAACAAUGGCUAAUCCUCUGUUUACACCAGCAGAGGUAGUAAAACAAGCCAAAGCCUCAAGCGCUAAGAUCGUUAUCACACAAGCUUGUUUUGCGGGGAAAGUGAAGGACUACGCAAUUGAAAACGAUUUGAAGGUUAUUUGCGUCGACUCCGCACCGGAAGGUUGUGUUCAUUUCUCCGAAUUGAUUCAAUCCGAUGAACACGAAAUUCCUGAGGUGAAUAUCCAGCCGAACGAUGUCGUAGCUCUGCCGUAUUCCUCCGGUACUACCGGGCUGCCGAAAGGGGUGAUGUUGACACACAAAGGCUUAGUCACGAGCGUUGCGCAACAAGUUGAUGGAGAAAAUGCUAAUUUGUAUAUGCACAGUGAUGAUGUGUUGAUGUGUGUGUUGCCUCUGUUCCAUAUAUACUCACUCAAUUCUGUUUUGCUCUGUGCAUUGAGAGUCGGAGCAGCAAUUUUGAUUAUGCAGAAAUUCGACAUUGCUCAGUUUUUGGAGUUGAUACAGAAGCAUAAAGUGACGAUUGGGCCAUUUGUACCGCCUAUUGUUCUCGCCAUUGCUAAGAGCCCAUUAGUUGAUAACUACGAUCUUUCAUCAGUAAGAACAGUCAUGUCUGGUGCUGCACCAUUAGGCAAGGAACUUGAAGAUGCCGUCCGAGCCAAAUUCCCUAACGCUAAACUCGGUCAGGGUUAUGGAAUGACGGAAGCUGGUCCAGUGCUGGCGAUGUGUUUGGCAUUUGCGAAAGAACCGUUUGAUAUUAAAUCAGGGGCAUGUGGUACCGUUGUGAGGAACGCAGAGAUGAAAAUUGUGGAUCCGGAUACGGGUUGCUCUCUGCCCCGUAACCAACCCGGUGAAAUUUGCAUUAGAGGUGAUCAAAUCAUGAAAGGUUACUUGAAUGACCCUGAAGCUACAGCUAGAACAAUAGAAAAAGAAGGAUGGUUACACACUGGCGAUAUUGGAUAUAUUGACGAUGAUGAUGAGCUUUUCAUCGUGGAUCGAUUGAAGGAAUUGAUCAAA
rnacentral:misc_RNA from 1 species